GUAUCUGAAGCCUGACGAGGAUGAGAACCUCCGGGGGCAAGAGGUUCGACUCGAGCGCAGCGAGAGAACGUUGCGUCAGCAACGGCCCGCAGGGCGAGCCACGCAGUGGCGAGUCAUCCUCUAUCACCGACCA
rnacentral:sRNA from 2 species